rnacentral:rRNA from 1 species
CCUACGGGAGGCAGCAGUGGGGAAUAUUGGGCAAUGGAGGCAACUCUGACCCAGCAACGCCGCGUGAAUGAUGAAGGUCUUCGGAUUGUAAAGUUCUGUGAUGGGGGAUGAACACAAUGACGGUACCCCAAUAGCAAGCCACCGCUAACUACGUGCCAGCAGCCGCGGUAAUACGGAGGUGGCAAGCGUUAUCCGGAAGGACUGGGCGUAAAGGGUGCGUAGGUGGUUUAGUAAGUUGGCGGUGUAAUUCCGGGGCUCAACCUCGGCAUUACCGCCAAAACUAGUAGACUAGAGUUCAGGGGGGGUAAGUGGAAUUCGUAGUGUAGCGGUGGAAUGCGUAGAUAUUAGGAGGAACAUCAGGGGCGAAGGCGACUUACUGAACUGUAACUGACACUGAGGCACGAAAGCGUGGGGAGCAAACAGGAUUAGAUACCCGAGUAGUC